UAAUACGGAGGGUGCAAGCGUUAUCCGGAUUUAUUGGGUUUAAAGGGUCCGUAGGCGGACUAUUAAGUCAGUGGUGAAAGCCCUCUGCUCAACAGAGGAACUGCCAUUGAUACUGAUAGUCUUGAGUACAUGUGAGGUUGGCGGAAUGUGUGGUGUAGCGGUGAAAUGCUUAGAUAUCACACAGAACACCGAUUGCGAAGGCAGCUGGCCAACAUGUAACUGACGCUGAGGGACGAAAGUGUGGGGAUCAAACAGGAUUAGAUACCCUGGUAGUCCACACCGUAAACGAUGAUUACUAGAUUUUGGCCGUAAGGUCAGAGUCCAAGCGAAAGUGUUUAGUAAUCCACCUGGGGAGUACGACCGCAAGGUUG
rnacentral:rRNA from 1 species